UACCUUCUUAGGGUGAACGAGUG
rnacentral:piRNA from 1 species